UACGGGGGGGGCAAGCGUUGUUCGGAAUUAUUGGGCGUAAAGGGCGCGUAGGCGGCUUCGCGUGUCUUCCGUGAAAUCCCUCGGCUUAACUGAGGACGUGCGGAAGAAACUGUGAGGCUCGAGUCCGGGAGAGGGGGGUGGAAUUCCCAGUGUAGCGGUGAAAUGCGUAGAUAUCUGGAGGAACACCGGUGGCGAAGGCGGCAUCCUGGACCAACACUGACGCUGAGUGAGCGAAAGCCAGGGGAGCAAACGGG
rnacentral:rRNA from 1 species